GUCCAAUAGUCAUAAAACGUUUUACUGGUUUGUUUGGUUUCCUGAUGUCUUUAAUCCAGGAACAUUAUCCAGAACUGGACCCAGUUUGUGAGCAGAAGCUUGAGGAGAGCGCCGACGUGUCGGGACUCUGCGCCCGGAUCAGCUGAGCUGUUUAAGGUUUUAGAACCGGUUUCUCUCUGGUUCUGGAGCGAUCCGGUUCUCUAAUGAGAUGCUGUUUGCUGUGGGAGGAGAGCAGCAGGUAAUUCCCAGCUGGAUUACCUAGACCAGGAAUAAAGUCGAUAAUCUGAUCAUCAGCUGAUUCCCCGGGAAGAGGACGAUGCGUUUCUCGGCAUGUAGGGGAAACGUGUUGGGAGUCAGAGCAUCUAUUCCAGCCGCACCAACAACAUCUAAUUGAAUCUAAUUUGGACAAUUAAAGUGAAAUUGGUCCAGCA